rnacentral:misc_RNA from 1 species
AACUUUCGACAAUGGAUCACUUGGCUCUUGCAUCGAUGAAGAACGCAGCGAAAUGCGAUACGUAAUGUGAAUUGCAGAAUUCAGUGAAUCAUCGAAUCUUUGAACGCACCUUGCGCCCCUUGGCUAUUCCGAGGGGCAUGCCUGUUUGAGUAUCAUGAACAUCUCAACUCUCACGCUUUCCUGUGAUGAGCUUGGACUUUUUCGGGUUUUGCUGGCGCUAUGGUCAGAUCCUUUGAAACAGAUCCGCUUGCCAGUGUUUGAUGGCGUCACGGGUGUGAUAACUAUCUACGCUUGCGAUUGUCUGCCAAGUAACCUUAGGCGACGGAGGUUCGCUGGAGCUUAUAAAUGUCUCUCCUCAGCGAAGACAGCUUUUUGACCGUUCGAUCUCAAAUCAGGUAGGACUCCCCGCUGAACUUAAGCAUAUCAAUAAGCGGAGGCU